GACGAACGCUGGCGGCGUGCUUAACACAUGCAAGUCGAACGAACAGACCCUGCUUUUGUGGGGUGCUCGAUUGGCGAACGGGUGAGUAACACGUGAGUAUCCUGCCCUUGACUUUGUGAUAACUUCAGGAAACUGGGGCUAAUACCGGGUAUGAGCUCCUGCUGCGUGUGGGUCGUUGGAGAGUUUCGGCUGUGGGGGAUGGACUCGCGGCUUAUGAGCUUGUUGGUGGGGUAGUUGCUUACCAAGGCUGUGACGGGUAGCCGGCCUGAGAGGGUGACCGGCGACCAUGGGACUGAGAUACGGACCAGACUGGUACGGGAGGCAGUAGUGGGGAAUAUUGCAGAACGGGCGGAAGCCUGAUGCAGCAAUGCCGCGUGCGGGAUGACGGCCUUCGGGGUGUAAACCGCUUUCGCAUGUGACGAAGCGGGAGUGACGGUAACGGGUAAAGAAGCACCGGCUAACUACGUG
rnacentral:rRNA from 1 species